rnacentral:rRNA from 1 species
AUUGAACGCUGGCGGCAUGCCUUACACAUGCAAGUCGAACGGCAGCACGGGAGCAAUCCUGGUGGCGAGUGGCGAACGGGUGAGUAAUACAUCGGAACGUGCCCAGUAGUGGGGGAUAACCCGGCGAAAGCCGGACUAAUACCGCAUACGACCUACGGGUGAAAGCGGGGGAUCGCAAGACCUCGCGCUAUCGGAGCGGCCGAUGUCAGAUUAGCUAGUUGGUGGGGUAAAGGCCUACCAAGGCGACGAUCUGUAGCUGGUCUGAGAGGACGACCAGCCACACUGGGACUGAGACACGGCCCAGACUCCUACGGGAGGCAGCAGUGGGGAAUUUUGGACAAAGGGCGCAAGCCUGAUCCAGCCAUGCCGCGUGCGGGAAGAAGGCCUUCGGGUUGUAAACCGCUUUUGUCAGGGAAGAAACGCUCCGGGCUAAUACCACGGAGUAAUGACGGUACCUGAAGAAUAAGCACCGGCUAACUACGUG